ACGUGGGUAAUCUGCCCUCGACAUCGGGAUAGCCCGGGGAAACCCGGAUUAAUACCGAAUGGCCCAUCAGCUUUUCGGAGCGGAUGGAAAAGGUAGCUUCGGCCUCCGGUCGAGGAGGAGCCCGCGGCGGAUUAGCUUGUUGGUGGGGUAACGGCCUACCAAGGCUCCGAUCCGUAGCUGGUCUGAGAGGACGAUCAGCCACACUGGGACUGAGACACGGCCCAGACUCCUACGGGAGGCAGCAGUGGGGAAUCUUCCGCAAUGGGCGAAAGCCUGACGGAGCGACGCUGCGUGAAGGAU
rnacentral:rRNA from 1 species